UCUGGCGUGCUCAGUGCGUCCGAGUUGUAAUCUAUAGAGUCGUUUUCCGUGCCGGACUGUGUCCAAGUCCCUUGGAACAGGGUAUCAAAGAGGGUGAUAAUCCCGUACUUGACACAAUGACCGGUGCUCUGUGAUACGUCUUCUACGAGUCGAGUUGUUUGGGAAUGCAGCUCAAAAUGGGUGGUGAGUUCCAUCUAAAGCUAAAUAUUGGCGAGAGACCGAUAGCGAACAAGUACCGUGAGGGAAAGAUGAAAAGCACUUUGGAAAGAGAGUUAAACAGUACGUGAAAUUGUUAAAAGGGAAACGAUUGAAGUCAGUCGUGACUGAGAGGCUCAGCCGGUUCUGCCGGUGUAUUCCCCUCAGUCGGGUCAACAUCAGUUUUGUUCGGUGGAUAAGGGCAGUUGGAAGGUGGCACCCUCGGGUGUGUUAUAGCCAGCUGUCGCAUACAUCGGAUGAGACUGAGGAAUGCAGCUCGCCUUUAUGGCCGGGGUUCGCCCACGUUCGAGCUUAGGAUGUUGACAUAAUGGCUUUAAACGACCCGUCUUG
rnacentral:rRNA from 1 species